GAUGAAGAACGCAGCGAAAUGCGAUAAGUAAUGUGAAUUGCAGAAUUCAGUGAAUCAUCGAAUCUUUGAACGCACAUUGCGCCCGCCAGUAUUCUGGCGGGCAUGCCUGUUCGAGCGUCAUUUCAACCCUCAAGACCCCUUCGGGGGACUUGGUGUUGGGGACCGGCACAGGGGCCUGCCUGCUUGUCUUGCAGCGCCCUCGCCGCCCCCGAAAUGAAUUGGCGGCCUCGUCGCGGCCUCCCCUGCGUAGUAGCACAACCUCGCAGCGGGAACGUGACGGCGGCCACUGCCGUAAAACAACCCCAAUUUUAUUAGAGUUGACCUCGAAUCAGGUAGGAAUACCCGCUGAACUUAAGCAUAUCAAUAAGCGGAGGA
rnacentral:misc_RNA from 1 species